rnacentral:tRNA from 1 species
GACAGGAUGGGAGAGUGGUUAAUCCGCAAGACUCGAAUCUAAUCUUCUCUUGGAUUAGAGUGAUCUUGUCCCUUUGGGGUCGUCAGUUCGAAUCUGGCUCCUGUCG